ACGUAAUAAACAACGCAAACGUAAUCGGAAACAUAACAAACAACGCAAACAUAAUUUACCCCGACCAACCCAGACUUGGGUUACCUGAACGCGAUCGCCGACUGGACUCUCAUGGAUGUUGCUGCCGGAAUCACUGUCUGCUAAUGAUGCCUACUCGAAUACACGUAGCUAAUAAAAGCUGGGGAAAGGAAAAGUCGACUUCCAAAUAACAGCUGAUCAAGGCUACCAAAAUACCAAAACGCAACCUGAAACGUAACAAACAACGCAAACGUAUCGUACCUCUGCCACCAGACGUACUUAAGCCUACUGCUGUUCCCGAACUGAAACAUAACAAACAACAUAAUUCUGCUGCGGCCGAAUACCAUCUAACCCCGGCGCACUACCGAGGCUUGGGGGUCCGACGUCGUUGUGUGACUGCAGCCGCUGAAGUGGACAUCGCUUCCAGCUUGAUCUGGGUCAACCGUGGUCGGCCGCCAAUUGGACACUGGCGGGGCACGUAAGAGGGACGAGCGAUCACGGGAGUUUUCCUAAACACCGACAACCAACCGCUUACUGCCAUUUGCCUGCUGCAGCCCGCCUACUGCCAACUGCCAACCAGCCACCAACCAACAACAACAACAAGGACGUCAACGGCGAGGGACGUCACAAUUCACUACCCUAUUCUGUUUUGUUUUUUUUUUCUCUCUCUCUCUCUCUGUUAUAAUAUUAUGCGAAAACCUACCUCUUGUCAGCUACAUGACAGCAAAAUAAUGUUAAAACAUCACAAGUCUUCUGUUAUUGUUAACGUUAAAUAAUAUUCAUGUAAAUUACUAUAAUAGUAAUAAGGUGAAUAAAUUGACCAGCUCUGCCUCGGCAGGACUGAUUUUCAUAUUAAAAAAAA